rnacentral:lncRNA from 1 species
AGAUGGUUCAGUGAUAGACUAUGGAAGGUGGAUUCAGGAAGAAGUGAGUCACUUACUAGCUGGAAGACUCUGAAUAAGUCAUUUCAUCUUUACCUGGCUAUAACUCUGACUACAGGAACAGUUUGCUCCUGGAGUGGCUGGAAGUGACCUGUGAUAUAACCAAAGACAGAUGCCUGGUGUCUUGAUUAUACCAAGAAAUGGAAGUCAAGGUUAAUAAGUCGCUGAUCUCACCAUGCAGAAAUUCCUGUUACAAACAGAAUUGUAGAAUGUUGAGACAGAAAGACCAUGAUAUCAUGGAAAUGAUGCCAGGACAUGCAAGUGAAUUGGAUAUGAGUGAAGGAGACCUAUGCAAGGAUUACAGAUAGCCACUGAAACUUCUGGAACUCCUGGAUAGGUCUUUGCUUUAGUGAUGUCUGUUUGGCAUUAGUUGGGAAGAGUGGAUUAGAAAGGUGAGAGACUGAAGACUUCUUAUAAGAAUGUGGCCUUAACCUAUGUCUUAAUUGUGACUUGAGAUUUUGUAAUAGAUUGAGAAUUAAUUUGGCACAGAAGAUAAUCCAGCUGAGAAAAGUUUGAAUUCAAUGAGGCCCCAGUAGAGAAAAAGGACAAAGCAGGCCAAGAGGGAUUGGAGACUGAGAACAAGGAAUGUUCUUGGAAAUGUAUCAAGGAACAGUCCAGGGGAUAUGGGCCACAGAGCUCUGACUCAGACUUUGCCUAUCUGCCAAAAUCAAGAAAGAAAAAAAAGAUGUAGAGAGG